rnacentral:rRNA from 1 species
UGGGGAAUAUUGGACAAUGGGCGAAAGCCUGAUCCAGCAAUGCCGCGUGUGUGAAGAAGGCCUUCGGGUCGUAAAGCACUUUUGUCCGGAAAGAAAUCCUUGGCUCUAAUACAGUCGGGGGAUGACGGUACCGGAAGAAUAAGCACCGGCUAACUACGUGCCAGCAGCCGCGGUAAUACGUAGGGUGCAAGCGUUAAUCGGAAUUACUGGGCGUAAAGCGUGCGCAGGCGGUUUGCUAAGACCGAUGUGAAAUCCCCGGGCUCAACCUGGGAACUGCAUUGGUGACUGGCAGGCUAGAGUAUGGCAGAGGGGGGUAGAAUUCCACGUGUAGCAGUGAAAUGCGUAGAGAUGUGGAGGAAUACCGAUGGCGAAGGCAGCCCCCUGGGCCAAUACUGACGCUCAUGCACGAAAGCGUGGGGAGCAAACAGGAUUAGAUACCCUGGUAGUCCACGCCCUAAACGAUGUCAACUAGUUGUUGGGGAUUCAUUUCCUUAGUAACGUAGCUAACGCGUGAAGUUGACCGCCUGGGGAGUACGGUCGCAAGAUUAAAACUCAAAUGAAUUGACGGGG